rnacentral:rRNA from 1 species
UGGUAUUUCUCUCAACAAAAUUUACAAAAAAAAAUCAAAAUAUUUAUAAAAAUUCUAGAAUUUAUAUUUUUUAAAAAAUAUAAAAAUUUUAAAAAAAUCUAAAGAAUAUAUAUAUAUAAAAUAAAAAUUUCUCAAAUAAUAAUUUUUAGACCUAAAUAAGUUAAUUAAUGAUUCAAAUUUAUCAUAUUAAAGUAUCUUGUUUUACUUUGAAAAAGUUUUCAAAUAUAUAAUGUUUCAAAUUUAUGUGCUACAACAUAGAAUUAGUUAUUGGUUAAACUCCUACUGGAGGCAAUAGUGGGAAAUUUUUCACAAUGGGUAAAAGUCUGACGGAGUAAUGCCGCAUGCAGGUAGAAGGCCCACGAGUUGUGAAUUUCUUUUCUUGGAGAAGAAGCAAUGACGAUAUCUGGGGAAUAAGCAUCGGCUAAAUUUGUUCCAGCAACCGUGGAAAUACAGAGGACGCAAGUUUUAUCCAGAAUGAUUGGCGUAAAGUGUUUGUAGGUGGCUUUUUAAGUUUACCGUCAAAUCCCAGAGCUCAACCCUAAAUAGGCAGUGGAAACUACCAAGCUGGAGUACGGUAGGGGAAAAGGGAAUUUCCGGUGGAGCGAUGAAAUAUGUAGAGAUCGAAAAGAGCACCAACGGCGAAAGCACUCUAUUGGGUCGACACUGACACUGAGAAACGAAAGCUAGGAGAGCGAAUAGGAUCAGAUAGCCCAAUAGUUCCUAGCCGUAAACGAUGGAUACUAGGCGUUGUGCAUACCGACCCGUGUAGUGCUGUAGAUAACGCAUUAAGUAUCCCGCCUGGGGAGUACAUUAGCAAGAAUGAAACUCAAAGGAAUUGAGAGGGGCCUAUGCAAGCAGUGGAGCAUGUGGUUUAAUUCGAUGCAAAGCGAAGAACCUUACCAGGGCUUGACAUGCCGCGAAUCCUCUUAAAAGAGAGGGGUGCCUUCGAAAAUGCGAAUACAGGUGGUGCAUGGCUGUCAUCAGCUUGUGUCAUAAGGUGUUGGGUUAAGUUUCGCAACGAGUGCAACCCUCGUGUUUAGUUGCCAUUGUUGAGUUUGGAACCCUGAGCAAACUACCGGUGAUAAGCCAGAAGAAGGUGAGGAUGAUGUCAAGUCAUCAUGCCCUUUAUGCCUUAGGCGACACUCUUGCUACAAUGGACGGGACAAAGGGUCGUAAUCCCGUGAGGAUAAGCUAACUCCAAAUCCCCAUCCUCAGUUCAGAUUGCAGGCUGCAACUCGUCUGCAUGAAGCUAGAAUCGCUAGUAAUCGCUAGUUAGCCAUAUGGUGGUGAAUUCAUUCCCAGGCCUUGUACACACUACUUAUCACACUAUGGGAGUUGGCCAUGCCCGAAGUUGUUAUCUUAACCGCAAGGAGAGGGAUACCAAAGGCAGGGCUAGUGAUUGGAGUGAAGUCGUAUCAAGGUAGCUGUAUUGGAAGGUGCGACUG